GUAGGUGAACCUGCGGAAGGAUCAUUAAAAGUGCCCUGGCGCAAGCCGGUGGACUACUCCUCUGGUCCCUUUUCUUCGUGAAAGGGGGUUACCGGGUUACCAAUUGUGAAACUUCUACCUUUGCUUCGGUAGCACUCUCAGUGGGAGCAAUCUUGCUGGAGAGGUAAGGCUACCAGAAGCCCAUAUCAUAACCAGUUGAUGAAAUGUCAUGCUGUCUGAUAACCAUUACUUUGAGAAAUCAAAUUAUAUUAAAACUUUCAGCAACGGAUCUCUUGGUUCUC
rnacentral:misc_RNA from 1 species